rnacentral:rRNA from 1 species
GGCUACUGCUAUUGGGAUUCGACUAAGCCAUGCGAGUCUAUGGACUUCGGUCCAUGGCGGACGGCUCAGUAACACGUGGCUAACCUACCCUCAGGUGGGGCAUAACCUCGGGAAACUGAGGAUAAUACCCCAUAGGAAAAGAGGUUUGGAAUAAUCCUUUUCUGAAAGGAUAUCCGCCUGAGGAUGGGGCUGCGUCCGAUUAGGUAGUUGGUGGGGUAAUGGCCCACCAAGCCUACGAUCGGUACGGGCCUUGAGAGAGGGAGCCCGGAGAUGGGGACUGAGACACGGCCCCAGGCCCUACGGGGCGCAGCAGGCGCGAAACCUCCACAAUGCACGAAAGUGCGAUGGGGGAAUCCCAAGUGCCUAUGCACAGCAUAGGCUUUUCCCAAGUCUAAACAACUUGGGGAAUAAGGGCUGGGCAAGUCCGGUGCCAGCAGCCGCGGUAACACCGGCGGCCCGAGUGGUGGCCACUCUUAUUGGGCCUAAAGCGUCCGUAGCCGGUUCAGUAAGUCUCUGUUUAAAUCCUACGGCUUAACCGUAGGGCUGGCAGAGAUACUGCUGGACUUGGGACCGGGAGAGGAAGAGGGUACUUCGGGGGUAGCGGUGAAAUGCGUUGAUCCCUGAGGGACCACCUAUGGCGAAGGCACUCUUCUGGAACGGGUCCGACGGUGAGGGACGAAAGCCAGGGGAGCGAACCGGAUUAGAUACCCGGGUAGUCCUGGCCGUAAACUUUGCGAACUAGGUGUCAUCUGGACCUCGGGUCCAGGUGGUGCCGAAGGGAAGCCAUUAAGUUCGCCGCCUGGGGAGUACGGUCGCAAGACUGAAACUUAAAGGAGUUGGCGGGGGAGCACCACAACCGGGUGGAGCCUGCGGUUU